GCUCGAAUUCGAACACCGGCUGCCAGUGGUCGGCGCCGUGCUGGUCCGUCCCACGUGUUCGCCCCGCGUCGAGUUCACGCUCCGCGGACGUCUCGAACGGAUAUCCAGCGCAGGGUACAAGAUCCGCUUUCAGGGACUCCAGAUGGCCAGGAUGACCAUAGACGCAAGUCCGGAGUACACUGAACUGAGCCGCCACCGUCAGUUCAUCGUGGGUGAAGAAGAGUCAUGUGUUCGGCAAGAUUGCUUCCUUGCUGAGGCAACCAGGCUUCCCGCUUCAAGCCGCUGACAAACGUAAUUUGGCUUCA
rnacentral:lncRNA from 1 species